rnacentral:rRNA from 1 species
AUUGAACGCUGGCGGCAGGCCUAACACAUGCAAGUCGAGCGGAGCGGCGGACGGGUGAGUAAUGCCUAGGAAUCUGCCUGGUAGUGGGGGAUAACGUCCGGAAACGGGCGCUAAUACCGCAUACUAUCAGAUGAGCCUAGGUCGGAUUAGCUAGUUGGUGGGGUAAAGGCCUACCAAGGCGACGAUCCCUAGCUGGUCUGAGAGGAUGACCAGCCAAACUGGAACGGAGACACGGUCCAGACUCCAACGGGAGGCAGCAGUGGGGAAUAUUGCACAAUGGGCGCAAUCCUGAUGCAGCCAUGCCGCGGGUAUAAAGAAGGCCUUCGGUUUGUAAAGUACUUUCAGCGGGGAGGCGUUACCCGCAGAAGAAGCACCGGCUAACUCCGUGCCAGCAGCCGCGGUAAUAC